rnacentral:misc_RNA from 1 species
GAUGAAGAACGCAGCGAAAUGCGAUAAGUAAUGUGAAUUGCAGAAUUCAGUGAAUCAUCGAAUCUUUGAACGCACAUUGCGCCCGCUAGUAUUCUGGCGGGCAUGCCUGUCCGAGCGUCAUUUCAACCCUCAAGCCCCCGGGCUUGGUGUUGGGGAUCGGCGAGCCUCCGCGCCCGCCGUCCCCUAAAUCUAGUGGCGGUCUCGCUGUAGCUUCCUCUGCGUAGUAGCACACCUCGCACUGGGAAACAGCGCGGCCACGCCGUUAAACCCCCAACUUCUGAACGUUAGACCUCGGAUCAGGUAGAAAUACCCGCUGAACUUAAGCAUAUCAAUAAGCGGAGGA